rnacentral:rRNA from 1 species
AUGGAGCUGUUCGCCGUUCCCAUUCUGCUGGCAACCAUGGCCUUGACCUAUCUGGCCUGGACGGCCGCCUCUCGUCGCCGGCGUUCACAGUGCUACCUCCUCGAUUACAUCUGCUACAAACCGCCAGACGACCGCAAGGCGACGACGGAUAUGGGGGUUGCACUGGCCGAGCGUAACAAGCGGCUCGGCGCCCCUGAGUUACGCUACCUCUUCCGCCUAACGUCUCGCGCCGGUCUGGGUGAGCAGACCUACCUCCCCUCUGGCAUCUUGGCCGGCCGCGAGAAGUGCCUCACCCACCAGGACGCGCUCGACGAGAUGGACGCCUUCUUCAUCGACGCCGUCGCCGACCUCUUCGCCAAUACCGGAUUCGGCCCCCGUGACGUGGACGUGCUCGUGGUCAACGUCAACAUGUUCAACCCGGACCCUUGCCUUGCCUCGCGGAUCGGGCACCACUACGGAAUGCGCGAGGACAUUGCGGCGUACAAUGUCUCCGGCAUGGGCUGCAGCGCCACGCUGGUCUCGCUGGAUAUCGUCCAGAACGUCAUGCGGGCACGGUCGCCGCGCCCCGUGCUUGCGCUGGUGCUGUCGACGGAGGUGCUCUCGCCUGGAAACUACCUGGGCACGGACAGGUCCAUGAUGCUGGGACUAUGUCUUUUCCGCUGCGGCGGGGCAGCGGCGCUGCUCACCAGCGACCCCGCGCUUGGUGGACGCGCGAAGAUGAAGCUACGCCGCCUUGUGCGCGCGAACGUCGCCGCCGACGACGAUGCGUACUCCGCCAUCUUUCAGCGCGAGGAUGCAGACAACCUUGUUGGGUUCAGCAUCAACAAGACCCUCCCAAAGGCCGCCGUCCGAGCGUUCGCCGCCAACCUGAAACGCCUCGUCCCUUACAUCCUCCCUGUCAGGGAGCUCGUCCGGCUUGCCACCGACUUUACGUGGCAGAAAAUGCAGCGCCGCCAGCGAGUCAAGAUCGAUGCCAAGUUGAAGACCGGGGUCGACCAUUUCUGCCUCCACUCGGGUGGGGUUGCGGUCAUAGACGCUUUGAAGAAGAACUUCGGGCUCAACGAGGCAGACGUGGAGCCGUCGAGGAUGACGCUGCACCGCUGGGGAAACACGUCGGCCAGCAGCGUGUGGUACGUGCUUGCGUACAUGGAGGCCAAGGAGAGGCUCAAGAGAGAGGACAGGGUGCUCAUGGUGACCUUCGGAUCGGGCUUCAAGUGCAACAGCUGCAUGUGGGAUGUGACUCGGGAUCUGAAGGACAAGGGUGCGUGGGCCGACUGCAUCGAUGAGUACCCGGUGGAGAGCACAGCCAACCCGUCCCUGGACAAGUAUAGCUGGAUGAUGAAUGACAACGCUGAUGACGAUGCCACAUUGCCUCUGUUAUAA